rnacentral:lncRNA from 1 species
GAACCUGUUUCUUGGGCUUAGCCUCAUUCUUCUGCUUCUUUAUGGGCUUUUUCUUCUUCUUGAAAGAAGACUUUCUUAUGGAGGAAGCCUGCUCCACAGCCAGAACUGUACCCCUUGAAUUUUUCAAGGUACCCUCUGCAGUCACCAGCAUAUUCAAUAACUCUGGCAAAGUAGCAUCAAUCUUAUUCAUAUGGUAGUUCAUAAUGAACUGUCCAUAUGAAUCAGAAAGAGAUUGGAGGAUC